CCGAAAAUGUGUGUGACUCACUUUGUCACAGUGGCUGUGUGCUCGAAAAGUAAGCUAUCACCAUAUUGCUACUAUAACAUCCAAGAUUUACACAGAUGACAUAGACUAAAGACAUGCUUCAUUUAAUAAAAAUAUGAAAAUAAAGAACAUAUAAUCUAGUUGGCCUUUAGAUAGAGGACUAUCCAAUCCAUCUAGGUAGAGAGGCUUUCUGGUCUCUUGAUAAAUACCUCAAUGAAAAAAAAUACUGUGGGUUUUAAAAUGCUGUGGUUAAGAGAACUGCAUCUCCCAGCAUGUCACAAGGGUUCUGCCUUCCUACUUCCUGAUAUGGGAUUGAUCUUGAAUGGACCAAUCACAUACUGGGGGAGGGAUGAUGCCCCCUACUUCCUGGCGUGGGAUUGGUCUUGAAUUGGACCAAUCCCGUGAUAGGAAAGGACCAUACCCUCCUACUUCCUGGAACUGGAUUGGUCUAUAUAAAAACCAAUCCAGGAGUUAGGAGGGGACUUUGAAUUAGAUUCAAAGACGGAAAGAGGCUAGUCAGUUAAAGGCUGCUGGAGCUCUGGUUUUCUUUCAAUUAAAGCUUUACAGUUUAAAAAAGAAAUAACUUUUUAUUUUAACCAUUUCCAUUGUAAUAUUUAAAGGAAUUAUAGGGAUUGAAGGGGGCUGGGGAAGAGCUAGAGGGGGUAAGGAAGGUUUUAUGACAGGGAAAUGAGGAGUUGAAGGGAGAGAGGGAAUAUGGCUGCUGGUCAGGUAAAAGGAGAUACCCCUGCUGAGAGGCUAUCUUUGAAACUUGGGGUUCCUGAGAAAUGGGUCACCUAUGAUAGCCUGAGGGGAUGUCUUCUCUAUGGAUUGAUGUUAAAGAUACCCCAGAGCAGGCACAUGAUCUCUUUCCUGAACUCUGCAUCUAUUUCUUCCUUCUGUCCAGAUGAGUUAGGAAGAACCCAAGGGAUUUGGGGUCAUCUCUUCUGAGAAAACUUUGAAGGAGGAGACAACAGAAUUUAUGUGAUUGUUGAGAUGAGGAAAAGGGGAGAAGGAACUCAGUUCAUGUGCUCGAUUUUUUCAAUUAAAUAUGAGGCAAAGUUAUCAGUCCUGAGAAGAUGGGAGAAGAGGGAACCAUGAGGGGAUUGAGGAGGGAUGAAUAGAUUUGUAAAAAGCAUAUGUAAUAAAUGGCAUAUUGAAUGGGUUAGAGAGAGACA
rnacentral:lncRNA from 1 species